CUUACACAUGCAAGUCGAGCGGUAACAGAGAUAGCUUGCUAUCUGCUGACGAGCGGCGGACGGGUGAGUAAUGCUUGGGAAUAUGCCUUUGAGUGGGGGACAACAGUUGGAAACGACUGCUAAUACCGCAUAACGUCUACGGACCAAAGGGGGGGAUGCUUCGGCACCUCUCGCUCAUUGAUUAGCCCAAGUGAGAUUAGCUAGUUGGUAAGGUAAUGGCUUACCAAGGCGACGAUCUCUAGCUGGUUUGAGAGGAUGAUCAGCCACACUGGGACUGAGACACGGCCCAGACUCCUACGGGAGGCAGCAGUGGGGAAUAUUGCACAAUGGGCGAAAGCCUGAUGCAGCCAUGCCGCGUGUGUGAAGAAGGCCUUCGGGUUGUAAAGCACUUUCAGCGAGGAGGAAAGGUUAGUAGUUAAUAGCUGCUAGCUGUGACGUUACUCGCAGAAGAAGCACCGGCUAACUUCGUGCCAGCAGCCGCGGUAAUACGAGGGGUGCAAGCGUUAAUCGGAAUUACUGGGCGUAAAGCGUGCGUAGGUGGUUUGUUAAGCAAGAUGUGAAAGCCCCGGGCUCAACCUGGGAACUGCAUUUUGAACUGGCAAACUAGAGUUUUGUAGAGGG
rnacentral:rRNA from 1 species